UGUCUCUGCUGGGGUUUCU
rnacentral:ncRNA from 6 species